rnacentral:rRNA from 1 species
UACGUAGGGUGCGAGCGUUAAUCGGAAUUACUGGGCGUAAAGCGUGCGCAGGCGGUUGUGCAAGACAGAUGUGAAAUCCCCGGGCUCAACCUGGGAACUGCAUUUGUGACUGCAUGGCUAGAGUGCGGCAGAGGGGGAUGGAAUUCCGCGUGUAGCAGUGAAAUGCGUAGAUAUGCGGAGGAACACCGAUGGCGAAGGCAAUCCCCUGGGCCUGCACUGACGCUCAUGCACGAAAGCGUGGGGAGCAAACAGG